AAACAAACCGGGGUGUGGUAUUCAGUACGUAGGAGAAACUGGACGAUAUUUAUCUAAACGCACUCAAGAACAUCUGUAUCGUUUUAAAAGACCAAAUAAAUUCAAAAGUAUCAUUUAUCAACACCUUAAGAAGCACAACCAUCCUUUUAAAUAUUUAGCAGUUCAACCUUUAGAAGUAGUAAAUAAGCAGCCUGGUGAAUCGCAUUCAAAGUUUGUACGAUCACGGAAAAUAAUUGAAUUAAAUUGGAUUAAAAAAUUACAGACAGUUUACCCUCUCGGUCUAAAUGAUAAUAUCAUGGGAAUUGGUAAUAUAUCUAGAACCAAUUCCGUUAACAUUUUGGAUAUAGUUUCUAAAACUGUUCGUAAAAACCGUUCUCACGGUCGUAGAACAAAUCGCAAUCAAAGAAAAUUUCGGGCCAAUCAUACCAAUAUUUCGGACCUAAUUUCUAUUUCAAAAAACAACGGCAGACAUUAUCUGUUAACAAAACUCUGUUCGUUACCGGUUAAUAAGUUAAAUAAAAUUUUGGAGGAUUGCAACACAAUUUCAUAUAGC
rnacentral:lncRNA from 1 species